rnacentral:rRNA from 1 species
GAUGAACGCUGGCGGCGUGCCUAAUACAUGCAAGUCGAGCGAACGGACGAGAAGCUUGCUUCUCUGAUGUUAGCGGCGGACGGGUGAGUAACACGUGGAUAACCUACCUAUAAGACUGGGAUAACUUCGGGAAACCGGAGCUAAUACCGGAUAAUAUUUUGAACCGCAUGGUUCAAAAGUGAAAGAAGGUCUUGCUGUAACUUAUAGAUGGAUCCGCGCUGCAUUAGCUAGUUGGUAAGGUAACGGCUUACCAAGGCAACGAUGCAUAGCCGACCUGAGAGGGUGAUCGGCCACACUGGAACUGAGACACGGUCCAGACUCCUACGGGAGGCAGCAGUAGGGAAUCUUCCGCAAUGGGCGAAAGCCUGACGGAGCAACGCCGCGUGAGUGAUGAAGGUCUUCGGAUCGUAAAACUCUGUUAUUAGGGAAGAACAUAUGUGUAAGUAACUGUGCACAUCUUGACGGUACCUAAUCAGAAAGCCACGGCUAACUACGUG